UUCGCAAUUGGACAGAAGUUUGUUUUACUCCUCCUAAUUGCUGUAUCGAUUACAAAUAUUCUGCUCAUAUCACUGUUUGAAUAGAUCCCACUGAAGAGGAAUUUAAGAAUUAUUCUUUUGUGUUAGUGUUUCUGCAGAAGAGAACAUUCCUAUUCAAGAAAAAUACUAACUUUGUGACGACAUUUAGUAUUUGUAUUUGGCUUUUAAUUAUAGAUAGAUUGUAGACAAACAUUGAUUUGCUAAUGAAGAUAUCAGAUAGGGGUGAUUUCAUUUCAGGUACUUCAGACAGGUAAGAUUUUCUCAUUUUGUUUAUUGUGUUCGCAUGUUCAUUAUGGAAUAUAUAGAUAGCAUACAAAUAUUUUAAAAAACUUCCCGACUUUUGCAGGAAAGUAACUAUUACAGGAUCUCAAAGAGCGAUCAGUAUGGCCAAGUCCAUGAUAUCUCAAUAAGUAGCGAGAGUUUCUGAGAGGUGACGUGAUGGAUUUCUAUUUCUAAAUAUUUUAUUUAUUAUUUUCUUAAUAUAUAGCUGAAAUUCAUAGGGCACUAUUCAAGCAAGUUCAGGGUGGAAGCUUCCCUUGCCAAAUCCUGUUACAAGGCCCUAACACUAACAAAUACACAAUUGAGGCAGAGGCGAUGAAAAGAUUUGGAACACAAAUGCUCCCUACAAGGUCAUAUGUUUUUCAUGGAUGGCAUCCCAGGAGGUUAGCAAAGGAGAGGAUACAACUGUGCAACAUGUGUUUACUUGUGGGAAAAGGAAAGUGGAGGGAAAUAACCACAUAUUCCUUCACUGUGAAGUGACUGAAGAAUUAUGGAACAUGUUCCUGAAUAUAUUGGGUGUGAAAUGGUCAAUGCCAAAAUCAACAUAGUUACCUGGAAAGCUUAGUUUAUAUAUAAUUUUUUAUUAUUGUUUAGUAAUGAGUUGAAAGACAACACUUAUCUUCUAUUUGCAAUGUUGAAGCAACUAGAGAGCCUUCAUGAGGCAGCCGCAUUUGCAUCAGUGGAAUAUCAUCACUAAUGUAUCUAAUUUUCUUGAACUUAGAUAAUUGAAGAGGGCCCAAUUACAGUAGCUCCACAAGAUACGAUGAAAAAACUUGAGCAGGCUGCUAGAAGACUGGCCAUAAGUGUCAAUUACGUUGGAGCUGCCACUGUUGAGUAUCUUUAUAGUAUGGAUACUGGAGAGUACUAUUUCUUGGAACUCAACCAUCGGUUACAGGGAACAAGAAAUUAAGCUGCUGAGGAAAGAUCUCUGGGAAAAAAUAUUCUGCGAGAUGAAGAUUGAGAGUAUGAAACAUUAGUUAAAAGAUCCCCAGAUAGCAGCUUUGGAGGCCUAAGUUGAAUCUUAUUAGUUACACUGAUUGUUGCUGAAAUUCUUUGGCAAAGUUUGAAAGUUGAUUCGUUGCACUUAAUUUGAACCUUAUAAUGAAAUUUUACGGUUAAAGCUCACAAGUAGUUUGUUAGAACCCAAUAAUGCAAUUAUGAUGAGGAAUUCUUUAAGUUAAGCAGGAUUUACAAGCAAUGUGUGGUAACUGCAACUUUAAUAUUGCAAAUACGAUCCCAAAGAAAAGUGGAAUAUGUUGUAUGUUAAAUGAAAGUGUAAGAAUUCACAAAAUGAGGGGCAGGAACAUAAGUAUUUGGAAUUGCAGAAACCUAAGGCUUUUUUAGGGGAGGAAGUUAUGUUAUAGACAAAUUUGAGAUCUGAGGAUUAGGUGAAGAUGGAAUCUUAGACUUGGCCACUGUUGGAAUCUCAACUUUAGGCAAAUUUAGGAACUGAAGCUUUGGGACUACUAUGAUCUCUUCACAAGGAGUUUGCUGCCAACAAUACAUUACUGGCCAAUAAAUCGGAAUGACAAACGCAACUCCAUCAAGUUUGCAGUAGACUUGGGCAAUAAAAAUGCAGAAAAGGCAUAAGAAAUUGGAAAAUCAUGGAGCAAAUUUGUACAUGAGGAGCUACAGAUGAAGUACAUGUCAUAUGAUAAUACAGAAGCUGGAGCAGAACGUACUGACAAACAAUUUGUUGCAGCAGUAAACAAACUUCAGGAAAAAAACAAUAUAGUGGUAGUUGCAAAUGGUAUCCAGCAGCAGUUAUUAGAACCAAUGUCAAUCAGAGGCAACAAUCAUGGUUGUGGAAUGAUGUACUCUGAUGUUUGCCUUUUCUUGAGGUCACUUUCUUAUUUGCAGUAGUUGCUUUAUUAUGAGUUGACAUCAUUAAACUAUUGUUUGCUUCUGAGCUCAACAGCCAGAAAAUAUUAUCCUUCUAGACAGUGUCUCACCUUACCUGUUCAACCUGGGUCAAAAAAGAGGCCAACUGUUCUUCACUACAAGAAGAGUCUCAAUGAAUAUACUAAUGGGAGCACAAGUGAGUAAACCGUACAGAGGCUUCAGUUGUUGCAGUAUAUUUGAAAUGAAAGUUCAUCAAAUCUUAACUCACAAUUCUGUUAGAGUAAUACCACAAUAUUUUCACGGAGCUGGUCGUCCUGCUUGACCACCACAUUUAUUGGCACACGUCUUCUACAUGGUAGCGACCACCACGUUCAUUGGCACAUGUCUUCUACACGUCUUCUAAAUGGAACCCACAAGUCUCAAAUCCUGGAUCCGCCUCUGUACUAGUUGAUCUCAAAUUUUCAGUUAAGAGGCCUGAAGUUGUGGAUGUGAUAUUGCCUUUCUUCAUUGAAAGUUUAGAGGAGGGUGAUACAUCAGUACCAGGCUUAUUGAGACUCCGACUCCUUGGUGCUGUUGCUCGCCUGGCGAGUUUAGGUUUUGAGAAGUCCUACCAUGAAGCUGUUGUUCCGAUGACAAGGAGUUACUUAAAUUCAGGUGUUGCUGAGGCAUGGUAUUGCGGUUGUUGUUGAUCAUCAGCUAGAUGGAGAUUCGAGGUAGCUGCCAGCGUCCGCAGGACCCAUUUCUCUGAUCCGUAUUAUUCUCCUAUCAGUAUUUCAGAUUCUAUAUUACUUUCUGUU